rnacentral:lncRNA from 1 species
GCCGGGCGCACCCGUCCCGUGCGUCCCCGGACGUUGCUCUCUGCCCCGGGAACGUCGAGACUGGAGCGCCCGAGCUGAGCCACCUUCGCCGACCCCGAGCGCUGCAGCUCCACUCACCGCGGAGGCGCCUGGACGCGUAAAGUGCGUACUUUCAACCGCGAAUGAAUGUUGAGGCUUUUAGGGGUGCGGGGCGACUCCCCAACUCCACGGGGGCCCUGGUCGGCCCCGCCGCCGAGUCGGAGACCAUCCGGUUCCUCGCUUGCGCUCGGCGCGGGGCCGGCGACUUGGGCUCAAGGGCGGCGGGGCGGGGAAGUGCCUUGACCUAGGGUCCCCGAAGCCCGGAGCGAGCCCCGCUUCGCCUUGGCUCGCCUUGCCCUCCGGGGUGAGGUCUGGGCCCGGUCGCAAGCGAUUUGUACCCGGUCCCGGGGAGUCGAGCCUCCAGAUACGCCCUCGCGGUAGCGGGGACUUUUCUGGGGCGGCGGUGGCGGAGUCCGGGGCCACUGCUGCCACAGUCCCGUGCGCUGCGCGUCCCGGGGACCAGCCGCCUAACUUCUAUCCGGGACGGAGACGGCGCUCGCGCCCCGGGCGGAGGUGGGAGCUCGCUGGGCUGGGUAGGGAAGAGGGCGAAUCGUUCCCAGCGGCGGCAGCGGCGGCGGCGGCGGCGGCGGCGGCGGCGACGGCGACGACGAGGGAACAAGUCUGGAGAAGUCAACUGCAGGGCAAGGAGCCCCCACCCAGGACCCAGCGGGACCCCGCGGGCGCGAGGGCACACACCCCGCUUUGGGCGGAGGUACUUCUCUCCGGUUUUCGCGGCCCUGGCGGGAUCCUCGGCCGCGUAAGCUCCCCGAUGGACCCGUGGCUCCAGCAGUCA